GACCCCGUAGCUCAACGGAUUAGAGCGAGCGGUUUCUACCCGCUAGGUUGGGGGUUCGAAUCCCUCCGGGGUUA
rnacentral:tRNA from 1 species